GUAGUCAUAGUUUAGAAAGAAUGUUGCACUGUAAAUGUGAAGGGGGAGAAUUUCCUGACUAUA
rnacentral:tRNA from 1 species